rnacentral:rRNA from 1 species
AUACGAAGGGGGCUAGCGUUGUUCGGAAUUACUGGGCGUAAAGCGCGCGUAGGCGGAUUGGUCAGUUAGGGGUGAAAUCCCAGGGCUUAACCCUGGAACUGCCUCUAAUACUGCCAGUCUUGAGUUCGGGAGAGGUGAGUGGAAUUCCUAGUGUAGAGGUGAAAUUCGUAGAUAUUAGGAAGAACACCAGUGGCGAAGGCGGCUCACUGGCCCGAUACUGACGCUGAGGCGCGAAAGCGUGGGGAGCAAACAGGAUUAGAUACCCUAGUAGUCC